AUUUACUGAAGUUCAGCCUAGCUCGCCAUACCGACAUGUUUUGAUAAUCCUGAAAAUAUUGAAAUUAAAAGCCUAGUUUGAUUAUUAUACUUCAGGGAAAAAAGACACAGGUAAAAUUAUAGGACUGUCAGAAAGAAAUUAGAAGGGAAAUUUGUGGAAAAGAAACGAAGGAAGGAAGAAAGGAAAAUGAAGGUGAAACAAAGGUAGAAAAAAAAGUUAUAUGAAUCAUUAGUUCGUUAUAUCGCUAUACCUUUUAAUCAUUAUACUGAACAUACCAAAAGAAUGGGAAUAGAAACGAAGGAAGGAAGAAAGGAAAAUGAGGGUGAAACAAAUGUAGAAAAUGAGGAAAAAAAAGUUAUAUAGAUCAUAGACUUAAACUCUUUCAAGAGGAGGGUAUCAGGACAUCUCUCCUCCCGAAACUGACCUAUCUUUCGGCCACCUCUUUGGAUUCUUUUUAGAAGCAGUGAGUAGCGGGCUGUUUUUUUAUUAAUGUUUGUUUUUUGUGUGCCCUUGAACUGUCUCCUUUGCUGUAAAAAAAAAAAAAAAUAGUUCGUUAUAUCAUUAUACCUUAAUCAUUAUACUGAACAUACCAGAAGAAUGGUCUGACCGUGAUGAUAAUGCAGAAGAAAAGAAUUAUAACAAACCCAGUUCAUCGUGCCGUCAUAUCUUACUAAUGAUUAUAGCCUAGCAUAGUCGUGAUUAUGCAAAAAAUCAUUAUAGGUUGAGAAAGGUAUAGUUUUAUGUAGUUUAAUAAUGCGCGAUAAUUGGACUUACUUAACGAAAAGUCUAGUCAUUCUAUUAUUCAUUCUGAAAAUACUGAAAGGGAAACCUAGCAAUUUUUUUUUUUUUUUUUUUUUUUUUACAGCAAAGGAGACGGCUCAAGGGCAACAAAAAGAGUGUAGAGAAAAAAGCCCGCUACUCACCGCUCCCAUAAUGGACAAAAAUAAAUAGUGGCCAAAAGAGAGGUCAAUUUCGCGUGGAGAGGUGUCCUGAUACACUCUAUUCAAAGGAGGUCAAGUCUUAGGCAGGAGGAAAUGCAGUGUAAGGGAUGAAAGAGUUGUGAUAAUGAAAAAAUAAAAAAUAAAGAUAGGUUAAAGUAGAAGUAUAGUUUUAUGUAAUGUAAUGUUAGUGAUAUUGGAAGUAUUCAACGAAAAGCCUAGACACGUUAAGAGAACGCUUCGUUUAGUAGUAGUUUAAAUUUACUUAGAAUUACACUUAACAAAACGGUAUCUUUAGAAAACACUAAAAAUUUCAUUGAUUGGUGUUACUGGACUCUAAAAAAUAACCUACCUAUCGUAUGUAGAAAUUAGUAUAUUAUUAUUAUUAUUAUUAUUAUUAUUAUUAUUAUUAUUAUUAUUAUUAUUAUUAUUAUUAUUAUUAGUGAAGGGAAGAUAGUGUGGUACCCCCCUUCCUCCUCCCCCUCCCCUUCAUUUCCUCCCUUACCCCCUCCCAUUUCCUCCUCUCUACUCUUCCCCCUUCCUCCUUCCCCUACUUACCCCCUUCCUUCACCCCUUCCUUACCCCUCCCGAUACCCCUUCUCCCCUCCCUCCCAGUGCUCCCUCUCUCCCCCUCACCCACUUCCCCUCCUCAUCCCCCCCUCUUUAAUCACCCUCCCUCCUCUCUCUCUCUCUCUCUCCCCGCUAAACUGUUCACGUGGGAGACAUUUCGCAAACAUUAUCACCACUGUGCAUUGCUGUUUUAUUCCGGUUGUUGUAAACUGUCCGCUGGAAAGGGGGGGGGGGGGGGGGUCAUGAAGGCAGGAAGUAAGUCUCGUGUGUGUGUGUGUGUGUGUGUGUGUGUGUGUGUGUGUGUGUGUGUGUGUGAAGGGAAAAGGGAUAAGUUUAAAUAGACAGACGGAAAAAAGACUCGCAGCUAAAUGAAAUGAUGGAAGUGGUAGACAGUAAUAAAGAAGGGAAACUGAAUGGAGAAGAAACGAUGGAAGGAAGAAAUGAAGGAAUAGGGGGGAAAAAGGAAGAUAGAAGGUAAGAGAGAGAAGGAAUAGGAAAGUGGAGCAGACUGAAAUGAUGGAAGUGGUAGAUAGAAAGAAGGGAAAAUGUGUGAAGGAAGGAAGGAAGGAAUAAAGGGAACAAAGGAAGGUAGAAAGCGAGAAAGAAAAGGGAAUAGGAAAAUGGGGAAAAAGGAAAUGAUGGAAGUGGUAGACAUAAAUAAGAAAGGAAAAUGGAAGCAGAAGAAGCAAAGGAAGGGAGGAAUAUGUGGAUGAAACGAAGGUAGAAAUUGAGAGCGAAAUUAGUGAAGAAAAUGCGUGUAGAAGAAGCGAAGGAAGGAGGGAAUAGUUAUGUGGAUGAAACGAAGGUAGAAAGUGAGAGCGAAAUUAGUGAAGUAUUAGGAGAAAAGAAAGUGAUAACGAGUGUAGAUAAAGAUAUGUUAUUAGGCAGGGAUUUAGUAAUUAUGUGUGGCUCCUUCUCUUCGCCGGAAUUAAUUAGUGGUUGGAUGAAUUUGCUAUUAGAUUCGAUUCCGCAGAAAGUAAAAUGAAUAGAAGAAAGCAGAUGCCUCGUUCAAGAAUGCAUCAACAAGAACUCUAUAGCAACAGCAACAACAAAAGCAGCAAGCGAUGUUUAUGUGUAUAUACGAGGGAAUUAAGAGAAAAAAAAAAGCGUUAGUGUCAGCGAAAUAAGUUUUAAAGGCAAAAAGAACGUUUGCCGAUAUCCGUGAAAGAAAAUAUUUUAGACUUUAAGUAUAUUGCUUUUUUUUUUACUUUGUUCACUCAAGAAAUUGUUCAAAUGCAGCAAUGAAUCGUGUAUGUGUCUGUUAUUACAGCUGUUCUUUUUACUUUUUUUUUUUUUUUUUUUUUUUUUUUUUUUUUUUUUAAGGAUUAUUUAGCAGUGGUUCCCAACCUUUGCUAUGCUCCACAGCUCCGGGAAAUAUUUGAUUAAAGCUCGCACGCCCUACAAAAGUAUUACCACCUUUGAUGAUGAAGUCCAAUUUCUAGCUAUUGGAACAUAAAUUGAACCACAUAUGAUACUGCGGGUGAACAAAUUGAACUUCAAAGAAUAAGCUUUUAACUCACUGCAGAAAAUGAAGUCAUGAAUGGAGCAAUUAGAUCAAUUCAUUCAGAAAAAAAAUAACAGUAAAAUCGAUCCACACAUCCCACUCUUUAACGCACCCCGGAUAUUACGCCCCCCCUCGGUUGGGAACUCCUGUUAUCAAGCAAAGAAAAAAAAAAGAACAACUGACUUCUUCAUACCAUCCCCAUAUUAUACCAAUUUCAAUGCAGUUUUUUUUCCCCUAUGCAUGUGUUAUAAUUUACAUAGUAGUUUACCCGUUGUUCCCUUUGUUACGACAUUGUAUACUAUUAAGAUGUUACGAAAGUGUUAGGUAUAUUACGAUGUUUCAAUGACCCCCCCCUCCCGUUAGUGUUACCCUGUGGUGUUCCCCUGUGUUAGUUCAUUCAUCAUCUUCCCGUGUGUGUGUGUGUGUGUGUGUGUGUGUGUGUGUGUGUGUGUGUUCUUGUUUAUAAUUAGUGCCUUGUAAGAAGUGUUGAUUGAUGGAUUAAACUUGAUUUGGUUGAUUUUUUGGUUGCUCACGAGGAAGGAUAACUACUUCUACUACUAUUACUACUACUACUACUACUACUACUACUACUACUACUACUACUAUUAACUAAUUUCACCUUCUCUACCUCAUUUCUCUCCAUUUACUUCCUGUUCUUUACCUGUAUUUACCUCUUCUUAUUGUAUCAUUUCUAACCUGUUUACCAAUCUUGUAUCCUUCCUUACCAGCGAACAUCCCCUUAGGCACGAAUUGGCCAAGAUAUAACAGUAUAAUGUUAAGCAUGUAUACUGAGGAGGCAGAUAAAAAUGAAGUAGUCUACCUUAAAAAGACAUCCAUUUUCACGCUUCCUUCCACUCCGAGAAAACGUGAGGGGUCUUGAGGGGGCAACACCACCACCACCACAGAGACCAGCCAUGGAUGAUUCUGUAGCAACACGCCUAUGUAUUUGUAAAGUGAUUUCCUCUUGCUUUUGUCGUGGUUUAAGCUGUGGUUGGUUUACGCUUAGUAGUAUGUAACCUCCCUUUUGUUUUAGCGUUGUCUAUGGAGAUGUGUGUAAGGCAGGGAGGGGAUAGUAGACAAGAAUGAAAGAAAGAAGGAAAGGAAGGUAGGCAGGCAGGUAGGGAGGUCUCAGAGAAGGUGAUGAUUUCUAGCAUUAGUUGUGUAGUAUCUGGUUUACUUGAACCCGCCGUGUACAUACUGUGACAUAGCAUUAAAUAAAGUGAUACGGAGGAACUGUGA